GACGAACGCUGGCGGCGUGCUUAACACAUGCAAGUCGAACGGUAAGGCCCUUCGGGGUACACGAGUGGCGAACGGGUGAGUAACACGUGGGUGAUCUGCCCUGCACUUCGGGAUAAGCCUGGGAAACUGGGUCUAAUACCGGAUAGGACCACUGCCUGCAUGGGUGGUGGUGGAAAGCUUUUGCGGUGUGGGAUGGGCCCGCGGCCUAUCAGCUUGUUGGUGGGGUGAUGGCCUACCAAGGCGACGACGGGUAGCCGGGCUGAGAGGUGAACCGGCCACACUGGGACUGAGAUACGGCGCGGACUCCUACGGGAGGCAGCUGUGGGGAAUAUUGCACAAUGGGCGCAAGCCUGAUGCAGCGACGCCGCGUGAGGGAUGGCGGCCUUCGGGUUGUAAACCUCUUUCAGCACCGACGAAGCGCAAGUGACGGUAGGUGCAGAAGAAGGACCGGCCAAGUACGUGCCAGCAGCCGCCGUAA
rnacentral:rRNA from 1 species